UACGGGGGGGCGGAGCGUUGUUCGGUGAAUUACUGGGCGUAAGGGUGCGUAGGCGGGUCUUUUAAGUCAGGGGUGAAAUCCUGGAGCUCAACUCCAGAACUGCCUUUGAUACUGAAGAUCUUGAGUUCGGGAGAGGUGAGUGGAACUGCGAGUGUAGAGGUGAAAUUCGUAGAUAUUCGCAAGAACACCAGUGGCGAAGGCGGCUCACUGGCCCGAUACUGACGCUGAGGCACGAAAGCGUGGGGAGCAAACAGG
rnacentral:rRNA from 1 species